rnacentral:snoRNA from 1 species
GCCAAAUGAUGUGAAGUAGAUAGCAGUAGCACUCUGCAAAGAUGACCUUCAUCUAUCACCCCAUACUGAUGGCU